CGAACGGCAGCACGGAUUUCGGUCUGGUGGCGAGUGGCGAACGGGUGAGUAAUAUAUCGGAACGUAUCCAAUAAUGGGGGAUAACUAAUCGAAAGGUUGGCUAAUACCGCAUACGCCCUACGGGGGAAAGCUAGGGACCUUCGGGCCUGGCGUUAAUGGAGCGGCCGAUAUCUGAUUAGCUAGUUGGUGGGGUAAAGGCCCACCAAGGCGACGAUCAGUAGCUGGUCUGAGAGGACGACCAGCCACACUGGAACUGAGACACGGUCCAGACUCCUACGGGAGGCAGCAGUGGGGAAUUUUGGACAAUGGGCGCAAGCCUGAUCCAGCCAUUCCGCGUGAGUGAAGAAGGCCUUCGGGUUGUAAAGCUCUUUCGCAAGGGAAGAAAACUUAGGCUCUAACAUAGCCUGAGGUUGACGGUACCUUGAUAAGAAGCACCGGCUAACUACGUGCCAGCAGCCGCGGUAAUACGUAGGGUGCGAGCGUUAAUCGGAAUUACUGGGCGUAAAGCGUGCGCAGGCGGUUUUGUAAGUCAGAUGUGAAAUCCCCGAGCUCAACUUGGGAACUGCGUUUGAAACUACAAGACUAGAAUAUGUCAGAGGGGGGUAGAAUU
rnacentral:rRNA from 1 species